rnacentral:rRNA from 1 species
AGCUCCAAUAGCGUAUAUUAAAGUUGUUGCGGUUAAAAAGCUCGUAGUUGGAUCUCGGCGGGCAGGGGGCGGUUCGUUAUUCGACGCUACUGCCCCAUUUGCCCGUGAUUUUGCCGGAGGUUCCAGGGUGCUCUUAACCGAGUGUCCUGGGGCGCCGUCAGGUUUACUUUGAAAAAAUUAGAGUGCUCAAAGCAGGCUUUACACGCUUGAAUAUUCGUGCAUGGAAUAAUAGAAUAGGACGUCGUUUCUAUUUUGUUGGUUUUCGGAAAUCGACGUAAUGAUUAAUAGGGACAGUCGGGGGCAUUAGUAUUCAGACGACAGAGGUGAAAUUCUUGGACCGUCUGAAGACUAACUACUGCGAAAGCAUUUGCCAAGAAUGUUUUCA